rnacentral:rRNA from 1 species
AUUGAACGCUGGCGGCAGGCCUAACACAUGCAAGUCGAGCGGAUGAAGGGUGCUUUCUCCUGGAUCCCGCGGCGGACGGGGGUGAAAUGCCUAGGAAUCUGCCUGGUAGUGGGGUAUAACGUCCGGAAACGGGCGCUAAUACCGCAUACGUCCUGAGGGAGCUAGUUGGGGAUCUUCGGACCUCACGCUCUCAGAUGAGCCUAGGUCGGACUAGCUAGUUGGUGGGGUAAAGGUCUACCAAGGCGACGAUCGGUAAGUGGUCUGAGAGGAUGAUCAGUCACACUAGAACUGAGACACGGUCCAGAAGCCUACGGGAGGCAGCAGUGGGGAAUAUUGGACAAUGGGCGAAAGCCUGGUCCAGCCAUGCCGCGUGUGUGAAAAAGGUCUUCGGAUUGUAAAGCACUUUAAGUUGGGAGGAAGGGCAGUAAGUUAAUACCUUGCUGUUUUGACGUUACCAACAGAAUAAGCACCGGCUAACUUCGUG